GUGUGCUGUGGUUAUCUUAGAUUAUGACUGUGUAGAAGGGUCUUGCUCAUAUCCUUCUUCAUGAGUUCCAGGGAUUAGCCUACAUCAGACACCUUCUCCACCCCAAGGUUAAAUAAGGGAAGAUGAAUUAUAGUGGAUCAGAAUAUGAAAAGGCUGCACCCUGGAGGAAAAUAUCUUAUUAUUCUAAUGAGCCCUAUUUUGGACAUGGCUGGAAUAAGCUAUACCUUGAUGUAGGUGGAGAAGUAAAAAGAACAUUGUAUCUGUAUUUGGUCCUUCAGAGGCAUUCUGUGUAUUUAAUUUUCUCUUGCAAUGAAGCACAAAAGGAUUUAAAUUGUACACAUUUUUUUGCUGGUCUGACAAUGUAUACACAAAGGAAGGAAGGGAGCAAGUUAAUGGUUCGAGAAGCAGUCUUUGUUCUGUUUCCAGGUCUACGAGUGACUUGGUGAAUAGCCAUGGGCAAGUUACUUAUAUCUUUUGAGCCUUGGUUUUCCCUGGCUGUAAAAUGACUAUUUGUACAGUAUCAGGAGUGUGCUGAUAGCUUUACAAACAUAUGAAAUGACAAUUCCUGCCUUGAAGAGAGCUCAAUUAAGAUGUAAAUAGAAUUAACACCCCCUCCCCCCCAAAAAGAGAGAGAGAGAGAAUUAAUUCCUAGUUUGUGGAGGGGAGUGAAACUUAACUCGUUUGUGUUUGUAAAAUGCAUUGAGAUCUCCAGCUGGAAGUGUCAAGCACUAGCACUGUAGUGACAAUUGAAUACACACUGGAAAGGGGAAUAGCAAUCAGAUCACUGGGUUAAACACCUGAAGCUCAGGACAGCUUGUACUUGUUCUUUGCAGCAUGCCUUUCCCAUGAGCAGCUCACUGCUCUGGCUCUAAUCCUGAUGAUAAGUGUUACUGACUUCAGAUGAACACCAGCAUAUUAUAAGGUCUCCAUCUCUUGCUCCCAUGCUGCAGGGACUGGGUUUUCCUGAGUGUGCUUGCUGUGGAGUUACAUAUAUGU